CAUAUAGGGCGAAUUGAAUUUAGCGGCCGCGAAUUCGCCCUUAGAGUUUGAUCUUGGCUCAGGAUGAACGUUGGCGGCGUGCCUUAGGCAUGCAAAUCAAGGGGGUCGCCGUAAGGCGACAACCGGUGGACGGGUGAGUAAUACGUGGGAAUAUACCUUAAAGUUGGACAUAGCCAGCCGAAAGGUUGGGUAAUUUCCAAUGUGAUCGCAAGAUUAAAAUCGCAAGAUGCUUUAAGAUUAGCCUGCGUCCUAUCAGCUAGUUGGUGGGGUAAUGGCCUACCAAGGCAACGACGGGUAGCUGGACUGAGAGGUCGGCCAGCCACAAUGGUACUGCGACACGGACCAUACACCUACGGGUGGCAGCAACCGGGAAUAUUCGACAAUGGACGAAAGUCUGAUCGAGCGACGCCGCGUGGAGGAUGAAGGCCUUAGGGUUGUAAACUCCCUUUGUAGGGGAAGAUUAUGACGGUACCUUACGAAUAAGCACUUGCUAACUACGUGCCAGAAGCCUCGGUAAUGCGUAGAGUGCAAACGUUAUCCGGAUUUAUUGGGCGUAAAGAGUUGCGUAGGCUGUCCGAUAGAUUUUGCUUGAAAUGCUAUGACUCAAUCAUAGUUCUGGGCAAAAUAUCAUCGGACUUGAUGGUUGGAGAGGGUGCUGGAACUGAUGGUGUAGCAGUGAAAUGCGUUGAUAUCAUCGGGAACACCAAAGGCGUAGGCAGGCACCUAGACAACACAUGACGCUGAGGCACGAAAGCUAGGGGAGCGAAGCAGAUUAGAGACCUGCGUAGUCCUAGCCGUAAACUAUCUCUGCUAGAUGGUCAGGCGUAAGCCCGACUGUCGCAGCUAACGCGUAAGCA
rnacentral:rRNA from 1 species